CUAUGAUCUGAAAUAAGAUCAUGGCAAAAGGAG
rfam:Lactobacillus kalixensis DSM 16043 Scaffold12, whole genome shotgun sequence.